UACAGAGGGUGCAAACGUUGCUCGGAAUUAUUGGGCGUAAAGCGCACGUAGGUGGCCAUAUAAGUCAGAAGUGAAAGCCCUCGGCUUAACCGGGGAAGUGCUUUUGAAACUGCAUGGCUUGAGUACUGGAGAGGGUCGCGGAAUUCCCGGUGUAGAGGUGAAAUUCGUAGAUAUCGGGAGGAACACCAGUGGCGAAGGCGGCGACCUGGACAGAUACUGACACUGAGGUGCGAAAGCGUGGGGAGCAAACAGG
rnacentral:rRNA from 1 species